rnacentral:rRNA from 1 species
AGCAGCAGCCGCGGUAAUACGUAGGGUGCGAGCGUUAAUCGGAAUUACUGGGCGUAAAGCGUGCGCAGGCGGUUGUGUAAGACAGGUGUGAAAUCCCCGGGCUUAACCUGGGAACUGCGCUUGUGACUGCACAGCUAGAGUAUGGCAGAGGGGGGUGGAAUUCCACGUGUAGCAGUGAAAUGCGUAGAGAUGUGGAGGAACACCGAUGGCGAAGGCAGCCCCCUGGGCCAAUACUGACGCUCAUGCACGAAAGCGUGGGGAGCAAACAGGAUUAGAUACCCGCGUAGUCCCUGUCUCUUAUAC